rnacentral:rRNA from 1 species
GACGAACGCUGGCGGCGUGCCUAAUACAUGCAAGUCGAGCGGACCGAACAGGAGCUUGCUCUUGUUCGGUUAGCGGCGGACGGGUGAGUAACACGUGGGUAACCUGCCCGUAAGACCGGGAUAACUCCGGGAAACCGGAGCUAAUACCGGAUAACACCGAAGACCGCAUGGUCUUUGGUUGAAAGGCGGCUUCGGCUGCCACUUACGGAUGGGCCCGCGGCGCAUUAGCUAGUUGGUGAGGUAACGGCUCACCAAGGCGACGAUGCGUAGCCGGCCUGAGGAGGUGACCGGCCACACUGGGACUGAGACACGGCCCAGACUCCUACGGGAGGCAGCAGUAGGGAAUCUUCCGCAAUGGACGAAAGUCUGACGGAGCGACGCCGCGUGAGCGAAGAAGGUCUUCGGAUCGUAAAGCUCUGUUGUUAGGGAAGAAGAAGCGUCGUUCGAACAGGGCGGCGCGGUGACGGUACCUAACGAGAAAGCCCCGGCUAACUACGUG